CCUACGGGUGGCUGCAGUGGGGAAUAUUGCACAAUGGGCGAAAGCCUGAUGCAGCAACGCCGCGUGAGUGAUGAAGGCCUUUGGGUCGUAAAGCUCUGUCCUAAGGGAAGAAAAAAAUGACGGUACCUUAGGAGGAAGCCCCGGCUAACUACGUGCCAGCAGCCGCGGUAAUACGUAGGGGGCAAGCGUUAUCCGGAAUUAUUGGGCGUAAAGAGUGCGUAGGUGGUUAUUUAAGCGCGAGGUGAAAGGCUACAGCUUAACUGUGGUAAGCCUUGCGAACUGGAUGACUUGAGUGCAGGAGAGGAAAGCGGAAUUCCUAGUGUAGCGGUGAAAUGCGUAGAUAUUAGGAGGAACACCAGUGGCGAAGGCGGCUUUCUGGACUGUAACUGACACUGAGGCACGAAAGCGUGGGGAGCAAACAGGAUUAGAUACCCCAGUAGUC
rnacentral:rRNA from 1 species